AUUUACAUAAUAUAUAGAUAUAAAGUAUAUUUGACUACCAAUCAAAAUGAUUAAUAAUUUUAAUGUAAAUA
rnacentral:tRNA from 1 species